CCACUCUCCCCAGUGCUGGUGGUCUGGAAUAGAUAGGACAUAUCAGGAGUGGGGGUCAGGGGGAGUGCAAAGUUUGUGGUUGACUGGGAACAGACAAAAUUAAGGCAAAUGGGCCUUAAGGUGUUGUCUUGUCUGUUCCUGGUGCCGCUGAAGGAGAUCCCACUGGAUGAGAAGACAGGAGAGAGGACGGAUCCCAGGGACAGGACUUCUGCCCUCCAGUCACCUCCAGAAGACACAGCUAGUUAGGUAUAAUUCUGCAACAAAUCCAUUACUCCAAAACAAGUCCCUGAUCCUGCCAGCGUGACGAUGCAAGUGUACCAAGGGAAGCCAUGGCAGAAGCUACCGGUGUUAAUAUGGGGCAACAUGCGAGAGUGGAGGCCAAAUAAAAAUGA